rnacentral:rRNA from 1 species
GGAAAAAAUCUAAACGGCCGCGGAAUUUUAACCGUGCUAAGGUAGCAUAAUCAUUUGUCUUUUAAUUAAAGACUUGUAUGAAUGGUUUAAUGAAAUAAAACUAUCCCUAAAAUAUUAUAUAAAAAUUAUUUUUAAAGUGAAAAAACUUUGAUAAAUUAAAAAGACAAAAAGACCCUAUAGAGUUUAAUUUAUUAUGAUAUAAUAUACAAUAUAAAUUUAGUUGGGGCAACUAAUGAAAAAAAAAAUUUCUUUUAUACAUAUAAAAAUAUAAUCAUUAAUUUAAUACUACAAAACAAAUUACCUUAGGGGUAACAGCGUAAAUUUUUUUGAGAGUUCAAAUCGAAGAAAAAAAUUAC